rnacentral:misc_RNA from 1 species
AGCUUUCGGCAAUGGAUCACUUGGCUCUCGCAUCGAUGAAGAACGCAGCGAAAUGCGAUAAGUAAUGUGAAUUGCAGAAUUCAGUCAAUCAUCGAAUCUUUGAACGCACCUUGCGCCCCUUGGUAUUCCGAGGAGCAUGCCUGUUUGAGUGUCAUUACUAUAUAUCAAACUUCUCUUGUUGAGUUGUUUGGAUGUGGGGGUUUGCUGGCCUCUUAAAAGGGGUUCCGCUCUCCUGAAAUGCAUUAGCAGCACAACCUGUUCAUUGGUGUGAUAAACUAUCUACGCUAUUGAAUGUGAAGGGCAGUUCAGCUUUCUAACAGUCCUUGGACAAAUUCAUCAUUAAUGUGACCUCAAAUCAGGUAGGACUACCCGCUGAAUUUAAGCAUAUCAAUAAGCGGAGGCU